rnacentral:rRNA from 1 species
UACGGAGGGAGCUAGCGUUGUUCGGAUAUACUGGGCGUAAAGCGCACGUAGGCGGCGCCGUAAGUCAGGGGUGAAAUCCCGGAGCUCAACUCCGGAACUGCCUUUGAAACUGUUUAGCUUGAGGACGAGAGAGGUGAGUGGAAUUCCCAGUGUAGAGGUGAAAUUCGUAGAUAUUGGGAAGAACACCAGUGGCGAAGGCGACUCGCUGGACUGAUACUGACGCUGAGGUGCGAAAGCGUGGGGAGCAAAC